rnacentral:rRNA from 1 species
GCUUGUCUCAAAGAUUAAGCCAUGCAUGUCUAAGUAUAAGCCUUUACACGGUGAGACUGCGAAUGGCUCAUUAAAUCAGAAACUGUUUAUUUGAUAGUGCCUACUACUUGGAUAACCGUAGUAAUUCUAGAGCUAAUACAUGCAAAAAGCCUGGACUUCUGGAACAGGCGUAUUUAUUAGAUAUACAAACCAACCGCUUCGGCGACCUUGGGUGACUCAUAAUAACUGAUCGAAUCCCUUUUUGGGAUAAAUCAUUCAAGUUUCUGCCCUAUCAGCUUUCGAUGGUUGUGUAUUGGACAACCACUGGCAAUAACGGGUAACGGAGAAUUAGGGUUCGGUUCCGGAGAGUUGGCCUUAAAAAUAGCCAACACAUCUAAGGAAGGCAGCAGG